CUCAGUCUCCUCUUCUGUGUUGUUUUUUGGAUUAGCACAAGUGAAGAGUUGCAUUAUCAAAACAUUUGCUUUGAAAAGUUGAAAGUUUGAUUUAUUUACUUGUAUCUGGUGGUGGUGGCAGCCUGUGUUAUUCCAAGGAAGCAAUGGUAAAAAGGAGGUCAGUGUUGGAGAGACAUCCUGAGACUCAUAGUAAACAUACCAUAGGUUGCUUUUCUCCGAACAGAUCUAUUCCAGCCUCCACAAACACACCAACAUCCAGCAACUGAAAUCAUUUUAAAAGAAUAAAUAAGGUUAAAUUGGCAGUGUGCAUCCAAGGAGGAGAAGUCAGUAUUUGGACUCUCUGUAGCCAAACUGCAGAUCUGCCACAAUUUACUGUACAUUUUUCUGCUUUUAAGAUGUACUUGCCAUCUGGAGUCAAACAGAAAAGCCAUAGCAGUUGGCUGCUGGAUGUGUAGCCAAAAGAAGAGGAAUUUGUAAAUAAUUGUGUCUGAAAUCUGUUAACUGGAGAGAAUAAAUGGAUAAUGAAGAAUACAGGAAGCCUCACAGAAAAUCCUUGUCUGUUUAAAUCAUUUGAGGUGGACUUCCGAACUGCUUCAUGAUAACUCUAUGGGAGCUGGACAGAAGAUAAAUCUGUGCAUUGGACUUCUGCUAUGGAAGCUACAGCUUUCCCUUCUCUGGAGGACACUGCGCAAUGAAAUGAUCAGUGGCAACAUUCACACUUUGUGUUCACCAAGUUCUUCAGCCUACAUCUUACACUCUGUACACUGGUGGGUGUCCAGUGCAGCACUGCACUAGACCAGAGCCCUGGGUCAUCACAGGUGCUGGGAACUGCUGGCAAAGAGCACCAUAAUGCAGGAGACUGUUCCAUUAGAAGAUAACAGGACUGCCAGCUAUCACUGCUUUGUUGGGAAUAACAUCUUAGGCAUGUUGUCUGUCUUCGUUUUCCAAGCCUCGGUACAGUGCAAUGUGCUUGGCUGCCAACAGCCAUUACUGACAGACUUUGGCUUCUGCCUUUCAGCAUGGACCCCUACCUCCAGUCAAACAGCUUGGAUUAUAAAUUUCCAGUGGAAAUGAUGGAAGUCCAUUCCUGCCAGCAGCAUCAACUGAAUGCUGACAGUGAAGAGAGGGGCUGGGAUCCUGCAGCUGAGCACACAAGAAAUGCAGCACAGAAACUGAGAAGUGUUUAGUUUCUCAUUCAGAAGGAGUCAAGAGAGGAAGUUUUUCAGUCCAGAGUGUUAGCUUUGAUUUGCUGAUAAAGAAACUGAUUGCUAUUGCAUCUGUUCCUUAGAGAGUGGGAAACAAAAAGGGAUAUAUUCCCUCUAAUUAGGAUUACAGCUAAACCUGGUUAUUAACUACUUCUAAAGGUAAAAACUUGAGUAUUUGGGCUAGAAAGAAUGAUGGGAUUUGAGCACGUCCUUCUCUUAUUUCAGACGUGGUCUCUGCUUUCAAUUCUGUGUUCAUUUGUUCCUUUAAUUUUUUCCCUCCUUUUUUUCCCUUUUGAGUGUGAGACAAGAGUAAUGUGUGCCCGUGGGAGGACUUGCAUUGUACAAGGGUUUCCACUCCAUGUUGGCAGACAAGUAGAUGCAGUUCUGGCAUCUCAUUUGUGCUCAUUUGGGUUUGUUUACUGACAGCAAACAAACAAAAAAUAAACAAAAAGCUGUGAGAUAGCAAAUUUUUUACUUGUACUUUUGCCAAGUACUUGUGUACUAUUUCUGUGCCAGAUUUUCAGUAACGAUGGCAUUAAACCAUACUCUCUUUUCCCUUUGGUCAUAACAAGUAAGCUCAUUUAUUUUUACUUAAAUUGGCUAUUUUAGAAAUGCUCUUAUGAGUUAACCCGGCUUCUCUUUUCUAGAAUAAUAUCAUGGUUGUGUGAUUAAAUCAAAAGAUCAUAUUAUAUAUAUAAAAGAUCAUAUAAGAUCAUCAUAUAAAAGAGAUCUUGUAAUGUAGAAUGAGGUAUUAAUUUCAUAAUGUAUUAAAGAUUUCUGUGUUUUUCCCUCUCUUUACCAUUGUAGUUUGUUUGGACAAAUUUCAAGGUUCUGAACUCUGGAUUUUUACGGUUUUUUUGAGAGGCUUAAAGAUCCUAUACAUCCAGCAUUCCUUUACCUGAGUAUUGUUCUCAAAUUUAAAUGUAUAGACCAUGAAAAAAGGAACUAAAAUAUUUGUAAACACGAGGAAAAAAAUAAAAGGAGUCUUCAAGAA